UACGUAGGGACCAAGCGUUGUUCGGAUUUACUGGGCGUAAAGGGUGCGUAGGCGGCUUAGUAAGUCAGUGGUGAAAGACUGUGGCUUAACCAUGGAAUUGCCAUUGAUACUGCUGAGCUUGAAUCAGGUUGAGGUUGGCGGAAUGUGACAUGUAGCGGUGAAAUGCUUAGAUAUGUCAUGGAACACCGAUUGCGAAGGCAGCUGACUGGACCUGUAUUGACGCUGAGGCACGAAAGCGUGGGGAGCGAACAGG
rnacentral:rRNA from 1 species